UGGUUCUGGCAUCGAUGAAGAACGCAGCGAAAUGCGAUAAGUAAUGUGAAUUGCAGAAUUCAGUGAAUCAUCGAAUCUUUGAACGCACAUUGCGCCCUCUGGUAUUCCGGGGGGCAUGCCUGUUCGAGCGUCAUUACAACCCGUCAAGCUCAGCUUGGUAUUGGGUGUCACCAGCCUUGGUGCACCUUAAAAUCAGUGGCGGUGUCUUUAGGCUUCCAGCGUAGUAAACUUCUCGCCACGGAGCCCUAAAUCCACCCGCCAGAACCCCCAAUUUUCAAAGGUUGACCUCGGAUCAGGUAGGGAUACCCGCUGA
rnacentral:misc_RNA from 1 species